GCCGGGCGUGGUGGCUCACGCCUGUAAUCCCAGCACUUUGGAGGCCGAGGCAGGAGGAUCACUUGAGGCAAGGAGUUUGAGACCAUCCUGGCCAACAUGGUGAAACCCUGUCUCUA
ensembl:misc_RNA Metazoa_SRP Metazoan signal recognition particle RNA